rnacentral:rRNA from 1 species
UACGUAGGGGGCAAGCGUUGUCCGGAAUCAUUGGGCGUAAAGAGCGUGUAGGCGGCCCGAUAAGUCCGCCGUGAAAGUCCAGGGCUCAACCCUGGGAUGCCGGUGGAAACUGUCGGGCUAGAGUCCGGAAGAGGCGAGUGGAAUUCCUGGUGUAGCGGUGAAAUGCGCAGAUAUCAGGAGGAACACCAAUGGCGAAGGCAGCUCGCUGGGACGGUACUGACGCGUGAGACGCGAAAGCGUGGGGAGCAAACAGG